rnacentral:rRNA from 1 species
CGACGUGAGUAACCUGCCUUGGAGUGGGAAUAACAGCUGGAAACAGCUGCUAAUACCGCAUAAUGCAGUUGGGUCGCAUGGCUCUGACUGCCAAAGAUUUAUCGCUCUGAGAUGGACUCGCGUCUGAUUAGCUAGUUGGCGGGGUAACGGCCCACCAAGGCGACGAUCAGUAGCCGGACUGAGAGGUUGGCCGGCCACAUUGGGACUGAGACACGGCCCAGACUCCUACGGGAGGCAGCAG